rnacentral:tRNA from 1 species
GGGGUAGCUUAAUGGUAAAGCCCCAUGUCCCAACAUGGACGUUCCGGGUUCGAUUCCUGGUCUCCGCU